rnacentral:rRNA from 1 species
UACGUAGGGGCCUAGCGUUGUCCGGAUUUAUUGGGCGUAAAGAGCUCGUAGGCGGACUGUCACGUCUGCUGUGAAAAGCUGGGGCUUAACCCUGGCCUUGCAGUGGAUACGGGCAGACUAGAGGUAGGUAGGGGAGAAUGGAAUUCCCGGUGUAGCGGUGAAAUGCGCAGAUAUCGGGAGGAACACCGGUGGCGAAGGCGGGUCUCUGGGCCGUAACUGACGCUGAGGAGCGAAAGCGUGGGGAGCGAACAGG